ensembl:lncRNA
UCACAACCGUGAGCUAACAGAGGCUAACUAUAAGAGAGUUGGAGUGGACCUCUUGUUGAAGAACUUCUCCAGGCACUAUGAACCAUCUGACUAGUAAGAAAAACCUCAAACAUUCAGAAGUUUAUCAGAUAUUAAAAAUAUAUGUCAAAUAAAUAUCAGAUAUUUUUUGAGUCCUGUAUGUCUUACAAGGCCAUCCUGUUUAACACUGCACUGAGGACACUACAACCAGAGAGGUACAACAUAAUUCAGAAUGAGACACAGAUGAUAAUAAAAAAGUGCUUUGAAAUGAAAAUUAAUACUGGUAAGACAGAACCGAAUACUGUGACUGUGCCUCACUUCAAAGUGAAACAGUCUGUAAUGGUCAUCUGCCAUGCCAGAUCGAUGGUGAAGGUGGGAAUUAUAAGUAAGAAUUUUUAAACUUUAAAUGUAGUAAAGUGUUUGUUCAAGUAGACUUUGUUGCUUGUGGAAACCUCACACAAGCCUGAAAGGUGCUUUAAACUUAAAAUCUUAUUUGCACUCUUGAAAACUGUUCACCAAAGACUAAAUUUCAGUCCAGCAGAAUUUUCUGCACACUUCACCACCAAGAUCAAAAUGAGCAUUGUGAAUGUAAAAGUUUCACAUUACAUUUAUAACCACCAUUGUUAAUAUUUGAAUUAUAUUGAAUUAUAUUAUGCCUUGAUAGUGGACAAUACCGGAUUUUUUGACCAAACAUAUUUAGGGGUCAGAUCGCGCUAUACGUGGAGAAUAACGCACAUUUAAAAAAAAGGCAUUUAUCAGUUUUUGCAAAUGAACUUUUCACACUUGCCAUACUCCAACAGGAUGAACGCACUGACCAAACAAAACAAAAUUGGUGGCAGUGUGAAAUGACCAUAAUGCUGUAUGUUAGGUGUGAGAUUCAUUAAACUUGGUUUGCUAUAAUACAUCUAUUCAGAAGUGCACCAGUGUGAAUCAUAAUUUCCCCCACAUUUGCUGUAUAUCCAUAAAGUCAUAUCUAUUGCCGCGUUUCCACCGAAAUUACCUGGAACAAUUGUACCAGGAACUUUUUUCCCCAUGAACUAUUUUCCCCCACAGACCUGUUGCUUUCAGCGUUUCCACCGCGGUCUAAAGUACCGUGAAGAUUAGGCAAAUAGUCUGGUGACGUAAGCCUGCGCGUGUUUCUCAGUACAGAGUACGCAAAUUUUGGACUUGCAUCCUCGGUAGCUCGGACCUUGCGAGUUCGACUCGGGAGUGUGAUCUCCCGUGGACGAAACGACGCAAGUCUGGUAAUUCUGCAAACAACAGCGUACUUAACAUCAGUCAGCUCGCCUUGGCUACUGCAAUUUUCCUCACUGUAUAUUUACAAUAAAACGAAAUAGGCUAUGAUAUCAAAUACCACUGCCUCCUUUCGUUUUCAUUUAAACAUAAUAAUAGCCGCAGAAAUGUACUUCGAUCAGGGAAAUGUGUAUAUAUACAGCCUACAAUACAAUGAAAUGAAAUAUUAUAUCAAUUUCCUUUUUAUUUUCAUUUUAAAGGGUUAGUUCAGCUAAAAAUGAAAAUUAUGUCAUUAAUGACUCACCCUCAUGUCGUUCCAAACCCGUAAGACCUCCGUUCAUCUUCGGAACACAGUUUAAGAUAUUUUAGAUUUAGUCCGAGAGCUUUCUGACCCUCCAUUGAAAAUGUAUGUACGGUAUACUGUCCACGUCCAGAAAGGUAAUAAAAACAUCAUCAAAGUAGUCCAUGUGACAUCAGAGGGUCCGUUAGAAUUUGUUGAAGCAUCGAAAAUACAUUUUGGUCCAAAAAUAACAAAAAUGAUGACUUUAUUCAGGAUUGUCUUCUCUUCUGGGUCUGUUGUGAGCGCGACUGCUGUGACUGUUGACGUAUGACGCUGCUGACGUGUUUUCUGGUGCGCCCAAUAACAAAGAUAACACGUCAGCAGCGUCAUACGUCAACUGUCACAGCAGUCAGUCGCACAAUUGAAUGAAGACCAAAGAUUACCUGUUAGAUUUACACAAAACUGAUUAUAUUUUAAGUUUAACCACUAAAGAGACAUCAGAGCCAGCGGCACAUAUCAGAAGGACUAGCCGAGGUGAAAGUGCUCUAGGCGGAUACAUGAGCAAUGAGCUCCCACUGAUCACGUGGAGCUGACCGUCUCCAAAAUCGGCGAAACAGAAUUUUAAAUAGGCGCUGUCUUUAUAAAUAAACCACAGAUUUGAGUUUUCAACAACUACAUUCUCGCCUGAAAUACUUUUAAAACUACAUUUCAUGAUACAAUAACAGUAAUAUUUUGAAAAUUAUCCAAAUAAAUGGUGGUUGAAAUCACAAUGCUGCGUGAACUCAACCAAUCAGCAUGUUUAGCACUCAAGUCCCGCCCCCGAAAGUUCCGGACCUUUGAAAAAGUACUACCUCGUGAGCAGGGACUUUCUGAGGGGCAUUUUUCUACCCGGAACUUUAUUUAGAUCCUGGUUCCUGCUGUGGAAACACACCCAGCCCAAAGUCCCUAGUUCCUCGGUAAAGUUCCAGCGGUGGAAACGCGGCUUAUGUCCUAGUGUUCUUUCAGUGAUUAAGAUCCAAUAUUUUUUUAUGACGGACACAAGUUUCGGAGGCAUUGUGUAAACGUGAUUGACACAACGUGAGAUCGUAUUUAUUUUUUAAUGUGUGAAAAUAUCUGACUAUAAUGUGCAGUGACCUUAAAGGUUAAGGGUACAAACACUUGACCAGAAUCAUGUCAAGUGACAACUGACUAAUCCAAAUGUUUUUUAUCUUCUUGUUUUGUUUUGUUUUGCAGAUGCUGUCAUGAAAAGGCAACUGCUGGACACCUGGGACAGGCCAUCAAUUCCAAGUUGGCGAAACUGAGGUUUCAACUGAAGAAAAAGGAGACCUGUUAGAGUUUAGAGUUGUCUAAUAGAGAGGGUGAAGGAAGAACAUCCAAACCCUUCCCCUGGUUCCUUCAAGAUUUUUUAUGGAUUUAUAUAAUGGUGUUUUUUCGUAAAGUAAAGACAGUGGCAAAAUUAACAUGACACUACUUUGAUGUUUUGUUCUACAAAUUAAACUACACACACACACUCCAAAAACACCAAUUUUGAUACAAUUUGCAUUUGCAAGAAAAAAAAAA